rnacentral:rRNA from 1 species
AUUGAACGCUGGCGGCAUGCCUUACACAUGCAAGUCGAACGGUAACAGGUCUUCGGAUGCUGACGAGUGGCGAACGGGUGAGUAAUAUAUCGGAACGUGCCCAGUCGUGGGGGAUAACGCAGCGAAAGCUGUGCUAAUACCGCAUACGAUCUAUGGAUGAAAGCGGGGGAUCGCAAGACCUCGCGCGAUUGGAGCGGCCGAUAUCAGAUUAGGUAGUUGGUGGGGUAAAGGCCCACCAAGCCAACGAUCUGUAGCUGGUCUGAGAGGACGACCAGCCACACUGGAACUGAGACACGGUCCAGACUCCUACGGGAGGCAGCAGUGGGGAAUCUUGGGCAAUGGGCGAAAGCCUGACCCAGCGACGCCGCGUGGAGGAAGAAGUCCUUCGGGGCGUAAACGUCCUCGGACGUGGGGACGGAGGAAGGACGGUACCCCACGUAGAAAGGGACGGCUAACUACGUG